rnacentral:misc_RNA from 1 species
GUGAAUCAUCAAAUCUUUGAACGCAAAUUGCACUCCCUGGUAUUCCGGGGAGUAUGCCUGUUUGAGGGUCGUUAGAAUAAAAAAUCGAGGCGUCGCUCUUUUUUUUUAAGGGGGAUCGUGUCGAAUUUGAGCGGCUUUUCAAUGUUUAUUUCAUUUUAAAGUGGCUAAAAUUUAAUCAAUCCGGAAG